GUAGGUGGCAAGCGUUGUCCGGAAUUAUUGGGCGUAAAGCGCGCGCAGGGCGGUCCUUUAAGUCUGAUGUGAAAGCCCACGGCUCAACCGUGGAGGGUCAGUGGAAACUGGGGGACUUGAGUACAGAAGAGGAAAGCGGAAUUCCAAGUGUAGCGGUGAAAUGCGUAGAGAUUUGGAGGAACACCAGUGGCGAAGGCGGCUUUCUGGUCUGUAACUGACGCUGAGGCACGAAAGCGUGGGGAGCAAACAGGAUUAGAUACCCUGGUAGUCCACGCCGUAAACGAUGAGUGCUAAGUGUUAGGGGGUUUCCGCCCCUUAGUGCUGCAGCUAACGCAUUAAGCACUCCGCCUGGGGAGUACGGCCGCAAGGCUG
rnacentral:rRNA from 1 species